rnacentral:lncRNA from 1 species
GUUUUCUGCAUAAGUGAAGGAAAGUUGCAGACAUCUUGUACUGUUGCCAAGACACUCUGACACUUACUCGGAGACACUCUGCUGCUGCCGCUGCUGCUCAGGAAUCCUCUGACUCCCUACGCUCCAGUGCCGCACCUGGGCACUCCCCGGCUGCUCACACCUUCUGCCUUGCUUCUCAAUAGCACUGGAUUUGCCUUUCUUCUCUGCAGCAGCAUCCACCUGUAUAUGUGGAAGGUGAACAAAACCCCAAAGAGCAGAACUGGACCAUUUCUUUGGGGCAGAAAUACUGUAUUACUUCACGCUCGCUAUGCUAGCAGGGUAAUCCUCAGAUUACAGCCUGUGGCUGAUGCAUCAGCGGGCUGGUGGCAUCCCCAAAGAACCCUGAAAGCAGCAGAGACUCAGCAAUGGCAAACAGGAAGAAAUUGCAAAGCUUUAGCCAGAGAUGCUGGAGCUUAGCAGUCACCCUCGACCCUGAACUCCACCUUACUGAAGGGUUCCCUUUUUCAUUACCUUUUUUCUCACAUCUGUGAGUUUGAUUGUGCCAAAGCCUGGCCACUCUUCAUAUCCUACUCCCUCUCCUCUAUCAAGCCACAGCCAGUUUUACCUUUGUCCAGGCCAUUCUAUGCCACCUAGACCUCUGGCUACAGACCAGUGACCCAGGGAUUUAGUGUCACUUAUCUUGAUUUUCUCUUUCACUCACAGGAUCUCCCAGCCCUGACAAGAAGACAGAUAAAUUUCAGAAGCCAAAGCUGAGUUCACCCACCUUACUGCAGCUGUUUUCCACUCAAGCCCUUUCCUCCCAUACGUUUACCCAGACAAAACUCUGGUUCCUAGCUCUCAGGUAUGAAUUUUCAGGUAGUUAAACACAGCAGUGAGAGGCAAGGACAAAGCCUGAUGUGCAAGAGGAUGUACAGCUAUGUACCUCUUGAGUCUUUUCUUUAAAUCAUCUUUCCUCUCAUUCCAGCCACAGCUACAUUCCAGCACCUACAGCAAAUGACGCAGGGUCUGGCCUCCAGGGAACAGACUCAUUCCAUAUGCAACUCUGACUCCUUCCUUAAUUGACCCUGGACACCUAAAAAGGAAUGGCUUAAUCCUAAAACAGUUAAUGUGUCAGCAUGCAAGUAAAAUGUAUAUUUACACUGAGGCCAAAUUAAUGUCAUUUUGGCACCUGAAUUAAGGUGUUUCUGAACAUUCCAGUGCCUGACUCUGCAACAUGAAUGCUCUUUAAUACAUAUCUGCAUAUAAAUUCUGGAAUGGAGAUGGGGGCAGAUGUGCUUCCCAUCCCCCACACGAGUCCCUAAAUGCAUUGUUAUCAGAGGACCCAUUGAGAGAUCUGAAGACUUUAUAUAGAGACUUGGACCUCACAAGCCAAGAAGGAAACUUUCCAAGGGAGAAGAAAACACUCCCUUUGCUGAGAUUGUCUUCUCUGGCAACAAAAGAGACACAUAAACACACAGAGGGGUGAUGUAUGGUGAUGGUGAAAGACACUUCUCCCUGAUUAUUUUCCACAUCUGUAAGUAAUGUGUUCCUCAAGACCAGGAUUAUUCCUCUCACUGUUUUCCCACCUGCUGGUCCCAGCUCCCCUCUGCACCAUUAUUCUCCAUCGGCUGCCUAAGAUUUAUGUAUCUUCAUGCACCUCUCUUCCUCUCCAUUUCAGUCAGGCUAAUUCCAUCAUAUCAGGGAAGGAUUCAUUAAAAAAAAAAUAAAUAAAAGAAAACAAAAACA